GAUGAACGCUGGCGGCGUGCUUAACACAUGCAAGUCGAACGGAAAGGCUCCUGCUUGCAGGGGUACUCGAGUGGCGAACGGGUGAGUAACACGUGGGUGAUCUGCCCUGCACUUCGGGAUAAGCCUGGGAAACUGGGUCUAAUACCGGAUAGGACCACAUUUUGGAUGGUGGGGUGGAAAGUUUUUCGGUGUGGAAUGAGCUCGCGGCCUAUCAGCUUGUUGGUGGGGUAAUGGCCUACCAAGGCGUCGACGGGUAGCCGGCCUGAGAGGGUGUACGGCCACAUUGGGACUGAGAUACGGCCCAGACUCCUACGGGAGGCAGCAGUGGGGAAUAUUGCACAAUGGGCGGAAGCCUGAUGCAGCGACGCCGCGUGGGGGAUGACGGCCUUCGGGUUGUAAACUCCUUUCGCUAGGGACGAAGCGCAAGUGACGGUAACUGGAGAAGAAGCACCGGCUAACUACGUG
rnacentral:rRNA from 1 species